rnacentral:rRNA from 1 species
GAUGAACGCUAGCUACAGGCUUAACACAUGCAAGUCGAGGGACCGGCGCACGGGUGAGUAACACGUAUCCAACCUGCCCUUUACUCGGGGAUAGCCUUUCGCAAGAAAGAUUAAUACCCGAUAUAAAGGAUGGGGAUGCGUUCCAUUAGGUUGUUGGUGAGGUAACGGCCAACCAAGCCUUCGAUGGAUAGGGGUGCGGAGAGGAAGGUCCCCUACAUUGGAACUGAGACACGGUCCAAACUCCUACGGGAGGCAGCAGUGAGGAAUAUUGGUCAAUGGGCGUUAGUCUGAACCAGCCAAGUAGAGUGAAGGAUGAAGGAUUAUGGGUCGUAAACGUCUUUUAUAUAAGAAUAUGUAUUAUAUGAAUAAGGAUCGGCUAACUCCGUGCCAGCCGCCGCGGUAAUUC